rnacentral:rRNA from 1 species
UAUUGCACAAUGGAGGGAACUCUUAUGCAGCAACGCCGCGUGUGUGAAAAAGGUUUUCUGAUCGUAAAACUCUGUCAUUGGGGAAGAAUAAAUGACAGUACCCAAUGUGGAAGACCCGGCUAACUACCUGCCAGCAGCCGCGGUAACACGUAGGUGGCAAGCGUUGUCCGGAUUUAUUGGGCGUAAAGCGAGCGCAGGCGGUCUUUUAAGUCUGAUGUGAAAUCUUACAGCUUAACUGUAAGCGGUCAUUGGAAACUGGGAGACUUGAGUGCAGAAGAGGAGAGUGGAACUCCAUGUGUAGCGGUGAAAUGCGUAGAGAUUAGGAGGAACACCAGUGGCGAAGGCGACUUUCUGGACUGUAACUGACGCUGAGGUACGAAAGCGUGGGUAGCGAACA